AAUGACCGAAGCUUCAAGACUUUGACAUGUGUGAAAACAUGAAAUGGUAAGUCAAUACAAAGACAGCAUCUUCCUGGAAUUUGGUUUUGAGCUUGUUUUCAUUUCACCUUUCUCAGUAAUCUGGGUGUAGCUUAUUUUGACUCUUCCUUUGAUUAAACAAUUCAGACCCUUGGCUCUUAUUGUUCUUGCUGGUGUGGUAUGUUCACGGCUGAAAAGAUGGUCAGAAGGGGAAAGGAGGAAGUGAGAAGAAAGAAACAGGGAAAUGACAGAGUGUUGCUCAGUUACCCAGGCUGGAGUGCAAUGGCAUGAUCUUGGCUCACUGCAGCCUCCACCUCCUGGGUUCAAGCGGUUCUCGUGCCUCAGUCUCCCAAGUAGCUGGGAUUACAGGCUGGAGUGCGAUGGCAUGAUCUUGGCUCACGGCAAACUCCGCCUCCCUGGUUCAAGUGAUUCUCCUGCCUCAGCCUCCCGAGUAGCCGGGAUUACAGGCAUGUGCCACCAUGCCCCGUUGGCCAGGCUGGUCUCGAACACCUUACCUCAGGUGAUCCUCCCACCUUUGGGAUUACAGCAGGCUGAGGAAUUACCAAGGAGGCAGGAGGUGGAGCAAAACACACCAAGCCUGGUGCCAAUCAUUGACAAUAUUAUGGUUAGUACUUACUGAGGGCUGACUAUGGUUGAAACUGCCUUUGCAAAAUUAUGACUGAGACGGUGAAAGAGAUCUAACUUAACCAACGCUAGCUAUCUUGCCUCUAACCUCCAAGCUGUCCUUGUUCAUUCC
rnacentral:lncRNA from 10 species